GUGGAGGCAGAGGGUUUUAGAAGAGAAAAGACGACGACGAAAUAUGUCUGUGGUUCAGACGACCUUGAGGGUCUGCCCAUGGAGGCGCCUCCUGAAGCAGUCGAGGGCUCCGUCAGCGCCUGGCUCUCUGCUUCCACGACCUACAUGGCUGUGGUGAUGAAGAAUAUGAAGAUGCUGUUGCCCCACGGCCGAGGAGACCUGGUCAGCCUGGACGCCGCCGCGAACGUGUAUCUUCUGGAGGCGCUUCUUGAAGAGCGCCAAGAGCUAAAACUUCUGGAGAUGUUCUAUGAUAAUAUGACAGCAG
rnacentral:lncRNA from 1 species